AAAAAAUUUGAUUCUAGUUUUUAAAUUUGAUUUAUAUUUUUAUUUAUAUAUAAAUUUUUGUAAUUAAAUUUUAUUUAAAUAGUAAAUUUUAAUUAAAUUAUUAAGAAAGGUAAUAAUUAAAAUUAUACAAUAAAAGAAAUUUUGAUAUAGGAAUAUAUAAUAGUAUUGAUAAAAUUUGUGCCAGCAAUCGCGGUUAAACAAAUAAUACAAUUAAAUUUUAUUUAACAAUAAUAAAUAAGAUUUAUAAUUAAUUUAAAAUUAAAUUUAUUAGGUGAAAUUAUAAAUUUAAAUAAAAUUAAUAUAAAGUUUAUGAAGUUAUGAAAUUUUUUUUAUUAAACUAGGAUUAGAUACCCUAUUAUAUCAAAUAUAAAUAAAAAUGUUAGGGUAGUAGUAGUUAUGUUCUUGAAAUUUAAAGAAUUUGGCGGUAUUUUAGUCUAUUUAGAGGAACCUGUUCUAUAAUUGAUAAUCCACGAUUAAUUUUACUUAAUUUACAAGUUUAUAUAUCGUCGUAGGUUGAAUAUUUUAAAAGAAUAAUAAUAUUCAUAAUUUAAUAUUAAUAAAGAAAAUCAGAUCAAGGUGUAGCUGAUAUUUAAGGAGAAAUGGGUUACAAUAAAUUUAUUUAAAUGAAUAUUAUAAUUAACAUUAUAAUUGAAAUUGGAUUUAAAAGUAAUAUAUUUAAAUUAAAAUAUAUGAUUUUAGCUCUAGAAUAUGUACAUAUCGCCCGUCGCUUUCAUUGAAUUUAAAAGUGAAAUAAGUCGUAACAUAGUGGGUGUACCGGAAGGUGUAUCUAGGGUGAC
rnacentral:ncRNA from 1 species